CUAUAGGAAAUCCGUAAUGGUUUUAUAUUACUGUAAUUUGUUCUCAGGAGAUCUGAGAUCUUGUUUAAAAAAAAAAAAAGAGGAAGAAAAAGAUGCAAGAACUGUGGUUGUAUAAACAAUUACAGCUAACAUCCUAUAUAAAGCCAAACACAAAUGGUAAUCCUCCUGACCUUUAAGGCUUUCCCCAUCAUUUCUUGGGUGUAGAAAUUUUGAAAGCCUAACUAUACUACAGAAGUAGCCCUUAUAUCUGGAAAUUCUCCACGGUUUUGGGCAGAGUGUGAAUGAGAUGCUUCUGUGAGGAGCAGGGAGUUGGACUCCAUGAUUUUAUGGGUCCCCUCCAACUAGAGAUAUUCUGUGGUUUUAUGAUAUUAGGUGUGAAGAACUCUGAGGGCUUUCUUUCAAAAUAAUGCAGUGUCAUCUCAUCUCAGUGCUUGUAUUUAAGUCUUGCACCAACUAUUAUAAUAACACUUUUAAAAGUAGUCAUCUCCCACACGAGAGUGGAAAAGGAAGACAAAUACCAAGUGUGCUGGUUCCCUGCUACAGCCUAUGCAAAAGCAAACCUGGCCUGACAGGGGGGAGAGUGCUGAGCAUUCCUUGCUUUUCUGGGAAAAAUGAAUGUGCUACUGUCUGCUCCUUUUAGAAAACAAACCAUUCAGCUCAUAAAUCAGGAGCUGAAAUGUAUUUAGAGCAGUGGUAACCAAAUCAGUCCCCUGCCAUGAGGUCACUUUUUCAUGAGUCACCAUCGAGUCCCAGAGACGUCAUCCUGCUCUUCCCAACAGAAAAAUCUAACCCAGUGCAGUGUAAUUUGCAAGUCUUCUGAGCAGGAAGUCCUAAAGGACUUGGAGCAUGACUAGAGAGGAAUUAAUCUACAACUGAGAAGAUUUACUUCUACUCCAUAACUUUGAUUAAAAGACCAAAGCCUUUGUUCUACAAACUGAUUUAGUGCAACAAAGAAUGGAAUAUGUGCCGUGUGCUUAAUUUAAUCAUGAAAACAACUCUUUUAACCUCUGAAAGAGUAGGUAUGUGCUUAAAAUCAUGUGCCUGUUCACAUUUGCUGUUGUUCGUGGCUUGCAUAUGUAAUACUUACCUUAGUUCUCUUCAAAUGGCCAAACUGGUAAGAGCCUCAGUUCUAACAGUCACCAGUCUGGAGUUAUUCCUUGCACUCAGGCAUCUGCUCAGACUGCACAGCUCCUUAGCUCCUGCUGAAGUAAGAACACCAACAAUUGCAGCCUCGUUGUUCCUUGACAGAAACCCUUUGAAAAUCUUGUCAGAAGAACUCUUUGUGUCUUGACAAAAGCACAAUGUUCCCAUGCUCUUAACCCCAGGAUACUUUAAGAAGACUCUAGUCUUGUCCAAUUGCAGUAUUAUUGACAAGUGAAAGCUUUUUUGUGCUUUGUAAUGCCUUUAAAAGCAGCACAAACAAUAUUUGUCCAUAUAGUAUAAAACCUUUCCAACUGAUUCUUGCCAUUGCAUCUCUUUAGACUAGUAAAAUUUGUCUGGUGGAGAAUGGGAGAUUGUUUCUAUGUAAAUCCAGAGUUCUGUUUGAAGUUGGACACACAAAAUUGAAAUAGAAAGGGCCUAAAAAGUUUUUAAAAGCCUGGUCUGGGCUCGUCCAGGCUUCAGUUAUAAAACAGAACCAUACUUCUUAAGGGGAAAACUUUGAGCCCUGCAGCACUUGCUAACAGAAUGCUGGGGCUCUGUAUCAAUAUCAAGGGACAGAGAAAAACAGUCUAUGGAUAAUAAAGAGUUUCUUUUGUAGCAGCUGGGUUCUCUAUCCCAGCACAGCAUCAGCUGAAUCUGAUUUUCCUCUCUAUGUGAUAUCCUUAGCAACCAUUGUCUUAGAGUGAUCCCUGUAAGAAUAGACUAAAUGACUGAAUCAACCAUAGAGUUCACUUUCCUCACCAUCAGAAGAGGAAAAUACAGACAUUCACUGCCACAAGCACCAAUUUCCUGCACUCUUAAGUUACAGUUCAAGUGAGAAGUAGCUGAUAUAGCUUGGAACGUACUCAUUAGUAUCAAUGUUCAGACUGGAACAUUUCUAUGCCCCAUUUGUCCCAAAGAUUCUUUGGCUGCAAACUGUCUUUUCAUUUCCUUCUCAUUUCUUCCUUUUCACUUGAUAUCUUUUUUUCUUUUGUUCUUCUGUUACUUCUUCCUUUUAUUCUCUCUUCCACAUGCCUCCCUUUUUUUUUUUCACUAAAAACUAAACAACCUCACUCUCAGCUUCUUUCAGGCAAUUUGAGAUUGUUUUGUCCAGUACAAUCUCUGCCCUUCACGGUCUUUCUGGAAAUCCUAAAGUACCUCAAGCUCUUACUUCCUUAGACAGCUCCACAGAAUGUCUCUUCUUUCCCCUCUUGUUCUGCAAACCAGUGCAGGCCACAGUACUUGCCUUUGAUUUCCCCUAGAGCCUGUUUGGACACUGAAGAGCUUUAAUGGCAGUGAUGACUUGGAAAAAGUCCUUACUGUGGUCAGGUCAAUUAGGGCUUAUUUGUACACUUGGGCCCUGACAACUGUAUGGACAAACAUUGUUUGUGCUACCUGAAAAAACAUUAAAAAGCAGAAAAAAGCUUUCACUUGUCAAUAAUACUGCAAUUGGACAAGACUAGAGUCUUCUUAAAGCAUCCUGGGGUUAAGAGCAUGGGAACAUUGUGUUUUUGUCAAGACACAAAGAGUUCAUCUGACAAGAUUUUCAAAAGGUUUCUGUCAAGGAACAAUGAGGCUGCAAUUGUUGAUGUUAUUAUUUUAGUGUGAGCUAAGGAGUUCUGCAGGCUGAGAGCUGAGCAGAUGCCUGAAAAGGUGACAUUAAUAAUUUGUAACAUAAAUGUGGUAUUAAACUAGGUAACAUUAUGUAAGAAUUAAAUAUUUGCAAAAAUUAACUCCAUGGAAAAGAUGUCGAUUGUCUAAUGUUUGUCUGUACAUGCAGCAAAAUUAGAUGGUGUCAUAAAUUGUAAAAUAAAUUUAACAUCAGUUUUAUGAGAGUUUUAUGAGUGAGAGUAAUUCUAAGAAAAAAUGCUCUCAGAAGAAAGAAACAGCCAUUUCUUAUAGGCUCUGGUCCUACAGAUGUUCAAAUGACUAUUUAAAUAUCAUCUGGUAAUCUUUACUUGGUGAAAAAAUAUAGAAAUUCUUCCCAUAGUUUGUGGAGAAUUUUUAAAGAGACUUUGUCUUCAUAUUUCUUCCAUUUCUAUUUAAUAGAUGUAUUUCCCCAAUGCCCUUCUAAACUGACUUUCUAGACAGAUGAAAUGAAAUAUGUUUGGCUGUGGUAAUUGGAAAGGCAUAUAUCCAUGCAAGUCUGCCUGGGCUGAAGGUACCUGGUUUGUCUCUCUCCUUAGCACAUGCCUUGAGUCAAUCAUGCACUUUUUACUCUUUAUUUUAUUCAGUUUGUGUCAAAACAUAACAACAAAAAUGUAGAUAUCAGUGAGAACCCAGUUAGGAAAUUCUCAUUAUUCUGAGUCUUCUUCCUACAAGUACAUUAACUGACUUCCUGUAGUGUUAUCCACAAUGAAUAACUUGAAUUGGGGAAGAAACAAUUACUGAGAAUUUCUUUUUUCCCAGAAAGGUCAAACUGAAUUCAGCUGGAGAAAAAAAUUUAAAUUACUUAGACCAUGCUAACUUGCUGUUUUCUACAUUCUUAGAAUGGUGACUAUAGAUUCAACUGGUCCUAAUUUCCCUUCCCCAUAUUCUCUCUUUUGGAAUGUGAAAAGACAAAGACCCGUCCUAAUUCUCAACAGAGAUGUAAUUGGCAUGCUGGUAUUUUUGAAAGUCAUAAUUCAUCUUUCUUCUUCAGGAUGAUUUUUCUUACAAGUUCUGUAACAUGAGGUCUUAUUUCUUCCACAGAGACAGUAGAGUCCCAGGCCUUUACUACUUUCCCAUUGGGGUCCACUAGGUAUUUCCAAAAGUUCCAGGUUGGUUCUUCUCCUGUAGAAUCUACAGGCGAAAAAGUGAAAUAUUAGAAAAACACAUUAGGCAAUUCCUGACAUUUGUUCCUAUCAAUUUGAUGACUACCCUCUCAGAGGAAGGAGGAAUGUAAAAUAGGGAGUUCAGACUGAAUAAGAUUAAUUUUCUGACAGACAGGGAGUUUUAAUUAGACAGGAGCCCCCCGGAGACUAAUGGGAACAGGGAAGCUUCAGACAGACAGGAGAAAGCACUAGAAUGGGUGUUAAAGUGUGUGAGGGCAUGUGUGUGUCUGUGCCACCCAGAUAAACCUGAAACAGUGGACUUUGAUAGGAAAAUGGUAUUUGGCAUCACAGUGUAGCUGUACCAGGACUGAUCACUUCCUUACCCAGAAUUUUCCCUCCGAAAGCACCCAGUGUCCGGUGCUUCAGAAGAUUGUUUCAACAAAUGUUACAUGAAGUAACACAGUAAUUGUUCCAGGUUUCCUCCUACUCCUCAUCUACUUUUUCCCUCCCUGGCCACGUACUCAUUUUACACAAGUCGAAUUCUUAUCCUUCACUGUUCUGCAACGUGACUAAUAAAAUUUUCAGGAUUUUCAAUUAGCACAGGAACCUCAUCCCACUAAAAGCACAAGUACAGAUGCUACAGACAAAUUAGCAUCUUUUUUCCACUGAUUAUACAUUGAGCAAAACCUCAUGAGGAAUUAGAAGAUAUUUCAAAGUACCACCAAGACACAGCCAGACUACACUGUGCUGCUUAAAUGCUGCCUCCAGCAGCCUCCUGCUUCCUGUGGGACAACAGGGAAACACAAGUUUGGCAAGUUUCAUGUGAGAUGUCUGCAGGAACAACCCUGCUGGGGAAAACAGAAACGGAAGGACCUGAAGAAGAGUAAAGGGAAGUUUGCCUAGCAGAGAGAUCCAUCACAGACACCUGGAAGGAGGUGUGCUUGGGACAGUCACAAAUAUUAUCACUACUCAUUUAAAUUCAGUGGUAUGUGGGCAAACACUGCAGAGAAACAGCAGCAGGAGGGAGCUCAAGGAAUUCUGUGUCACACUGGGCUUUAUUUUAUUUCAUUGUUGGAAGACAUUUCCUUCACGUUGGGUUGACUGACAUUUUAAUUUAGCAUUUAAAUGGUAUUUAGAGCGUUUGUUCAGUGCAAGAAAAAUAGUGCCUUGAUAAAGAAUAUCCUGCCUUACAGUGUAUUUUGUCAGCUGGUGCUAAGGACCUGCAAAGCUCUUCAGGUCUCAGUGCUAUAAAGCAGACUGGAACUGGCAGAACUGGACAUGGCUAUUCCAACACUUGGGGAGGAAUGAGGAAGGGAGUAUUCAAGGACAUCCUUUAGUGCCCAGUUUCACUUUCUGAUUGCUGAAGUAAAUUAUGAGGUGCUUUGCUUCCACUUAUGCUACAUCUCUUGAGAUGAAUCUUAUAAAUCCAGCCUGCAGCACUCCUGUCACAGGAGGAGCACUUACAAGGCUGCAAAGUAGAAAACGGAAGGUCAGGUGUUGGAUGUAUACAGGGGAAUAUUUCAAAAUCUGUAUCCUAUGUAGAGGUCUAUUAGAUGAGCUUUUACAGGACAACUGUUAUUGAUGUGUCCUCACCUCUGGAGAUCUUUUUAGAAGGUAAGACAAAGCUGUCAGAGGUGACAGAGAGAAAUCCUGCCUUGUGCGAGAAGGGCUACGUGACUUCUGACCUCUUUGAGCCUGCCAACUCUGGGAACACAAUCAUAGGGAUCUUUUUUCUGUCAAAUGUUAUUUUGUAUCAGAGGAAUUCUACACUGAAGAAACAACCCUCCAGUGUUCCGGAUUACUCACCAAUUAAGUACUUGAAGGCAGGAAUUGCUCCAGCCCCGCUGACUGUGGUUUUGCUGAACAUGGGAAAGGAGGCACCGUAAGUCUUUCGCGCAAAACUCUCGAUUUCUCUGUUGGUGUCUGGUUCUUGCUGCCCAAACUGGUUGCAGGGGAAGGCCAGCACAUUGAAAUGGUAGGGGCCCAGGUCCCUCUGUAGCUGCUGUAAGGCCUUGUAGUGGCUGUCUGUGUACCCACACUCGCUUGCAACGUUGACAACCAGUGACACCUGAAAAGAGAUUGAAAAAUGUGCUGACAUGUCAGCUUUCCAGCAGGUAGGCUGGGAUGCAGAUUAUUUAAAAAAAGAAAGAAUGUCUAAAGAACUGUGACUGAAUACAUAUUUGAAACUACAUCGAGUUUUGUUAACAAUAGGAACAUUUAAUAUUUCUUUCAUGUAUUCCUACUUGGCAACGAUGAAAAUAAUCAAUAAACUUCUAAGCAAUCUUAGUUUUCAGAGAAUCUAUAUUUCUCCAUUCUGCCCUUUGGAUAGUUUCUAAGCAUAUUCAAGAAGUGCCCAUUCAGCUAUGAUAGACCAAGUUGCAUGAAAGAAACUUGCAAACCAAUGUAUUUUUUGUUUUUUAUUUAUCUGUUGUGAAACAUCUGCUCUGCAUCAUCUUUCCCUGUGCAGAAUUUAGUACCCAUACAGAACUGGCUGAUCCAUUUAUCAUUGCUAGUUAAAUGACCUGGAAGUUAAUAGAAGCAAUUACAGGAUUUUGGGUUGGUCUGUGCAGAAUGGGCUGCAAAAUCUUCCACCAUUUCUGGAGUAAAUCUACUCAGUUGAGACAAAAUGACAACAGUUUUUUUCACAAAAAUUUACUGCCUCAAUUAGAGAUUCCAAGAAGUGAAGACUGCCCACUAUCCUCUAAGAUCUUUCCUGUGGUGGAUCAUGUCCAACCUGUGCACAUGGUGUCAUUCAGAUAUUACCAACAGGCAGAUCCAGCUGGAGGAAGGUAUCACACACAGGUGAGCACCACAGGAAAAUAAAGGCACGUGUGGAACAGGUUCCACCAAGAAUUUGUUGGAGAAAAUAAGUGACCUCACCCUGAACUGACACAUAUUACAGUUUCUCAAAGCUUUGAGGAAUUUUCCAUUGGUUUUCGAGAUAUUUUAUCCUUAAAUAACUUUUGGGAUUUAUUAUUAGACAUAGUUCUUAUUACUCUCACAAAUUUUGUAAGUGUGAGUUGCUGCUCAUCCUACAUAAAUUGAGUCCAUUCUAAUACUUUCAUAUAGAAUAUAAAAGUAUUUAGGGAAAUGAGGUGUGUCAAAGAAAUUAUAGUAUACAAAAAAUAAAUAACUACAUGUAAAUAGGAGUUUUAAGGCCAGAAAACAAACUGGCUUAUAAAAGCCUUUAGCUGGGUAAGGUAUGGGAUCAUAAAAUGAAAGGCCUGGAAGGGGUAGGAAUGAGUAAAGAAAAAGGUAAUGGGAUGUUGGUGUUUAUAAUUUCUUACAUUAACACUUACUUUGUGUUUUCUACCUUGUGUAGGUAUAUUGCUAUAGAGAAUCAUAGAAUAUCCUGAGUUGGAAGGGACUCACAAGGUCCAGCUCCUGAAUUUAAAGUGGUUUUGGAAUGGCACUGUUCUCCCUGGAAGACAGAAGCUGGUCAUCACCUUUUUGGAAUCAACUAUUCCAUGUGGCCUAGCAGAGAUCAAGGAAUACCAUUCAUCAAUGCUGUUCCCUCUCCC